rnacentral:miRNA from 2 species
UUGACAUCAUCAUACUUGAGAU